UACGGAGGGGGCUAGCGUUGUUCGGAAUUACUGGGCGUAAAGGGCUCGUAGGCGGCCAACUAAGUCAGACGUGAAAUCCCUCGGCUUAACCGGGGAACUGCAUCUGAUACUGGAUGGCUUGAGUUCGGGAGAGGGAGGCGGAAUUCCAGGUGUAGCGGUGAAAUGCGUAGAUAUCUGGAGGAACACCGGUGGCGAAGGCGGCAUCCUGGACCGACACUGACGCUGAGGAGCGAAAGCCAGGGGAGCAAACGGG
rnacentral:rRNA from 1 species